rnacentral:rRNA from 1 species
AUAGGUGUAGGCGCAGCGAAAGCGAGUCUUAAUAGGGCGCAUGAGUUCGUGGGAUCAGACCCGAAACCGAGUGAUCUAGCCAUGACCAGGAUGAAGGUACGGUAACACGUACUGGAGGUCCGAACCCACACCUGUUGAAAAAGGUCGGGAUGAGUUGUGGCUAGGGGUGAAAGGCCAAUCAAACUCGGAGAUAGCUGGUUCUCCGCGAAAUCUAUUUAGGUAGAGCGUCAUCCGAAUACCCCGGGGGGUAGAGCACUGGAUGGGUAAUGGGGCCCCACAGGCUUACUGAUCCUAACCAAACUCCGAAUACCCGGGAGUACUAGAUGGCAGACACACGGCGGAUGCUAACGUCCGUCGUGGAGAGGGAAACAACCCUGACCUCCAGCUAAGGCCCCUAAUUCAUGGCUAAGUGGGAAAGCAGGUGGGACGACCAAAACAACCAGGAGGUUGGCUUAGAAGCAGCCAUCCUUUAAAG